GUGCUUGCUUCGGCAGCACACGUACUAAAAUUGGAAUGAUACAGAGAAGAAUAGCAUGGCCCCUUGGCAAGGAUGACAUGCAAAUUUGUGAAGCAUUAAAAAACAAA
ensembl:snRNA U6 U6 spliceosomal RNA